ensembl:lncRNA
UUCUACUGUGAGUUCUACUGUAGUGUAAUUCUACUACUGUAAUUUCAAGUUUCUACUUGUGAUUUCCAGCAAAAUGACUGGAUGUGAGAGAGUUUAACGACAGGAAAGAUGGAGCAGUGAGAGCAGAGAUCUCUCAGAAUUCUGAAAACAGAUCGACGAAGUUCUGGUAACUUCAAUUCCAAAAACUUAGAUUCUGGUAAAACUUGAUUUCAAGUCACAGGAUUGCGUUUCAACUCAGGUUCAAGCUUGUCAACUUAGAUAGAGCUCAUGGCGGAGAAAUGAUAGAAGAUAGAAUGGCUUGUCAAAAAAGAUGGAGCAGGGAGAGGGAGAGUGAUAGGACAGACUGAAUUGCUUGUUAAUGAUAGAGGGAGAGGGUUUUCUGCAGCAGGUCACCUGUAAGACAGAAAGAAAGUGGAAUUAGACACACUUCCAAUAAACCUGGCUUUACUGUAUUUUUCAGACUAUAAGGCACAUUUAAAAGCCUUUAAUUUUCUCAAAAAUAGACAGUGCACCUUAUG